AAGGAAUGAGUUUUUAAAAAUAACUGAUUUCGAACCAGUCGUUUUAGGUUUUAACCCUAAAUUCCUAA
rnacentral:tRNA from 1 species